rnacentral:lncRNA from 1 species
ACAGCAGCCCAAGAUAGAAAAGCCUACAGAAGAAAAGCUCGAGACGUGAAGAGCCCAUGAAAGCAUGGUCCGGAGGCUUGUAGUACAUGGUUCGAGGGCUUGUAGCAUGUGGCCUGCAGCGUGCACAGCCCAGGGGGCCUACUGCAUGUUGGGCCAGCAUGUGCCCAGGUGCAUGAAAUGCAGCGGUCCACAGUGGACCAUGGGAGGA